UGUCCUACCCAGAAAGUUAACCUAUUU
rnacentral:piRNA from 1 species